UGCUCAAAAUGAUAAAAGUCAAAAAAUAACUUUAAUUUUUUGCCUUAAACACAUUCGCUAUACCUAUUCUAACAUGUUCAUUUGGUAUUAUAAACUGGUCAACCAUAGACCUUAGCAACGUUGAAGUAUUAACCAGAAAACAGUUUACAAAUCACAGGAAACUACAUCCCACCUCAUACAUACAACGAAGACAAAAAGAACACAUGGUUGCAAAAACAUUUACACGGCAAACAUAUGCACAUAAUGCAAGAUCCAAAUAUAGACAAAAUUUGAUCUUACACAUGGCUAGAGAGGGUGAACUUUUCGCCGAAACAUAAGGAUUUCUAAUAGCCAUUCAAUACCAAGUCUCAACCAAAAACUACCAAAAAUACAUAUUACGAGACCCGAAUACAAUAGAUUACAGAGGCAAAAAAUGCCAAUCCUACCCAGAAACAAUAGGUAACAACACGACCGGCUGCAGACUCCUGGCGGGUACUGAAUACGCAGAGAGACACAACACAUUUGCAAAAAUAAGACACCAAAUAAUAGCCAAUAAUCACAAACUCAUAGAAAACUGUACAACAUACUAAAAAAGAUAUCCCUGAAAAUAUCUUAGAAAACUAAAAAGCCCUACAGUACUGGGAUAGAACAGUAAACUCGGACAAAACCAUAUUGAACAAUAGACCGGACAUAACACUUACAUAUAAAACACAAAAAAUUACUUACCUCAUCGAAAUAAGCACACCAGCCAACACCAACGUGCAAAAAAAAUGCAUAGAAAAAAUAGAAAAGUACCUCGAACUUACACAAGAAAUAAAGCGUGUAUGGAAACAGAACACAGUUAAAAUAGCACUUUUCAUAAUAUCAGCUACGGGAUUCUUACACAGAACACUCAUAAAAAAUCUUAAGGUACUCAACGUAGACGAAACAGCACAUCACACAAUCCAAAAAGCAGUAAUCCUAAAAACAUGUAACACAUCAAGCAAAUGUGUGCAUGCAACACUGUAAGAAAGAAUGUAUAAGAAGAAGACCUUGGAACGAGAAGUUUUUGCUACAAGCCACGAAAGCGAGAAGACGUAUUUUUCCUUGCUGUUCAAUAAAACGUUUAAUUGUAAUACAAAUUCA